UUAGACUUAUUUGUUCGUAGUGUCCACACAGAUGACUGUUAGUUACGCUAAACCGCUUGGUUUAACUAAUUAAUAUGCUCUUUAAAAAUUUGGAAAGCUGAUAUUAAAAUUCUUAUAGAUAUUCGUAUCUAUAAAGAGUUUUCAAAAGUAAAAAUAUGCCAUUAAUUGAAAGAUUAAUUGGUAUCUACUUUAGUAUUCUCAUCAUUAUUUGAUGAAUUAACUUCUGGCGAAGUUAACAGCUGUCACUAACAAAGACCCGUUUGGGUUGUAUGGUUAAGUGACUAAGCGUACACGGUGGAUGCCUUGGC
rnacentral:misc_RNA from 1 species